GGGCUGGGCCGACGAGGCCAUGGCGUCCCCCUCCCGUCAGGCGUCCCCGGGGGGCUCGGGGCUCCUGCGAGGGAGCCGAGCCCGGUCUUACGGCAGCCUGGUGCAGUCGGCCUGCUCCCCGGUGCGGGAGCGGCGCGUGGAGCACCUGCUGGAGCCCGGGGACACCCUGGCCGGCCUGGCGCUCAAGUACGGGGUGACGAUGGAACAGAUUAAGCGUGCUAACCGACUUUAUACUAAUGACUCCAUCUUCCUCAAGAAAACUCUCUAUAUUCCCAUCCUGACUGAGCCCCGGGGACUAUUCAAUGGGCUAGAUUCUGAGGAGGAAGAAGACAAGGAGGAAGCGAUGCCAUUGAGUCAAGGUGGAGCUGAGGGCUCCUCAACCGUGAGGAAAAAACAAGAGGAAAAAGCCAAUGGUGAAGGCCUUUCUUCUAGAUGUGGCCAGGACCUCCCUGUACCCAGCCAGGACCUCUCUGCCACUGACUUCCUCAAAAAGAUUGACUCACAGAUCAGUUUGUCGAAGAAGGCUGCCGUCAGGAAGCUGAAGAAGGGUGAGACUGGGGUACCCGGGGAGGAUCUGCAUCCCCACUUGGCUUCCCCCCGAAAGCAGCAACGGGCAGUGCUGGGCCCCGUACCCCUGACUCGAACCACAAGGGCAGCCACCUUACGGGACCAGGAAGAUGAAAUCUUUAAACUCUGAUACCCCCCAAAUCUGUUGGGAAGAGAGAAGCAGUAGAGGAGAACCUGCCUGAUGGGGUGAAAGUUGUGGAUCCACCAGCUCAGCCCAUCCCUGCUUUGGCUUCCCUACCCUGCCCCCAUCCCCCUGACCUGGCCUUCUUGUCAGAUCAGGGACUAUGGCCGGCCGCUUGUGGGAGGAGUUGUAGGCAAGAAUGGAAAGAUGAUGUGUGUAUGAUUGGAUGCAUCUCAGCUGUGCCUCGAGCUCUCUCAGACUUAUGACUACUGCUUUCUGCUUGUUGGGGUGUCUCCCCCUGGCCCAAUGGCUCUACUGCAAAGCAUGUGAUCAAUGGGAAUCUUUUUGAGAACAAUCUACAUAUCAAAGGCCUCUGAUGAAAAUUUGAAAAGGGAACAGGAAGGCUUUCAGAAAUCAUAUUCUACAGCAGACCACAUCUUUACAGUAACAAUUGACUGAAAGGUUCAGAAAAUAGAAGAUCCCAUUAUGCUUGUCUGGGUAAAUUGUCAACUAUAAAAGAAAUAAUUUGCUUAAGUAGAGCAAAAUGCUGUACACCAACCAGGCGUUUCCUACUCUCACCCUAAAAUCCUUAAAAGACAAGUAAACAAAAAUAACUUUGACCCUAAGAUUAUUGUUGUCAUCAAUCAAGGAAUAAAAUAGGGCAAUGUAUGCUGACCAUUGAUGUUUGCUCUUAUGAUGGAGAAUGCCCAGCAUAAAGUCCAAAUGGAAAAAUA